rnacentral:rRNA from 1 species
UGUCACCUACGGGAGGCAGCAGUCGGGAAUAUUGCGCAAUGGAGGAAACUCUGACGCAGUGACGCCGCGUAUAGGAAGAAGGUUUUCGGAUUGUAAACUAUUGUCGUGAGGGAAGAAAAUGACGGUACCUGAAGAAGAAGCCCCGGCUAACUACGUGCCAGCAGCCGCGGUAAUACGUAGGGGGCAAGCGUUAUCCGGAUUUACUGGGUGUAAAGGGGGCGCAGACGGCGAUGCAAGCCAGGAGUGAAAGCCCGGGGCCCAACCCCGGGACUGCUCUUGGAACUGCGUGGCUGGAGUGCAGGAGG